CCUACGGGAGGCAGCAGUGGGGAAUAUUGGACAAUGGGCGAAAGCCUGAUCCAGCCAUGCCGCGUGUGUGAAGAAGGCCUUCGGGUUGUAAAGCACUUUCAGUGGGGAAGAAAGCCUUGGGGCUAAUACCCUCGAGGAAGGACAUCACCCACAGAAGAAGCACCGGCUAACUCCGUGCCAGCAGCCGCGGUAAUACGGCGGGUGCGAGCGUUAAUCGGAAUUACUGGGCGUAAAGCGCGCGUAGGCGGUCUGAUAAGCCGGUUGUGAAAGCCCCGGGCUCAACCUGGGAACGGCAUCCGGAACGGUCAGGAUAGAGUGCAGGAGAGGAAGGUAGAAUUCCCGGUGUAGCGGUGAAAUGCGUAGAGAUCGGGAGGAAUACCAGUGGCGAGGGCGGCCUUCUGGACUGACACUGACGCUGAGGUGCGAAAGCGUGGGUAGCAAACAGGAUUAGAUACCCCUGUAGUC
rnacentral:rRNA from 1 species